rnacentral:lncRNA from 1 species
UCCGCAUAUGGCUUUGAGAUCGUGCAGACCCUCAUUGUCGACAUCGAGCCGGAUGCGCAUGUCAAGCAGGCGAUGAAUGAGAUCAAUGCAGGUUAUUUGCUAAAGCCCUGACGUGAUGGAAGUUGGACACUUGUACCUAAAUCUUGCCUCCAUCAUAUUACUGACAUGAUACUUGUGCCUUUUGCAGCUGCAAGGAUGAGGGUGGCUGCAAACGAGAAGGCGGAGGCUGAGAAGAUUGUCCAGAUCAAGCGUGCCGAGGGUGAAGCAGAGGCCAAGUACCUGUCUGGCCUCGGUAUCGCCCGCCAGCGCCAGGCCAUUGUGGAUGGCCUGAGGGACAGCGUCCUGGGCUUCUCAGUCAACGUGCCUGGCACCACUGCAAAGGAUGUGAUGGACAUGGUGCUGAUCACCCAGUACUUUGAUACUAUGAAAGAGAUCGGCGCAUCCUCCAAGUCCUCGGCGGUGUUCAUCCCCCAUGGCCCUGGUGCGGUGCGCGACAUCGCCACGCAGAUCCGCGAUGGUCUUCUUCAAGGCCAGUCUGCCUCUGACAACUAGCAGUUGGCUUUGCCGGCAUGAACUUUGAAGCUGGUGGUGGUUUGUGGUUUGCUAGCUAUUGCUUAGAGUACUGUCUAAUAUGAUGCAUGCCGUAUUAUUAUGAACUUAUAUGGAACCAUAUGUGGAUCGUGGCGUGCCAUGCCUUAGGUUGAUGUGCGGUAACAAAACCUUUAACCUUGUGGGAAUGCAGGAUGAUAUAAGUGUGUUAUGAAAUGUUGGUGAUGAAGUUGAUCUAAUGCUUUU